AAACGCAAGCGGGUAACCGGGUCAGGUCUCUAACUCUAGUGGGCCGACCCGGCAACCUCACCACCAGUUUAUCCGGCACAGUCUCCCCUUCUCUCUCCAAACUCCAAUUCUUGGACAGCAUCUAUCUACAAGAUCUCAACAACCUCUCCGGCCCCUUUCCAAAUCUCAUAUUCAGCCUCCCAAAAAUCGACAUCAUCUACAUCGAAAACAAUAAAUUUUCCGGCCCGAUUCCGCCCCGAGUCGGCGAACUCACCCAACUCAUCGCAUUCAGCCUCGAAGGAAACCGUUUCUCCGGCCCGAUUCCGAGUUCCAUUGCCAAUCUAGGUCAGUUAAUUCAGCUGAAACUCGGCGGCAACCUCCUCACCGGCGUCAUCCCCACCGCCCUCCAGAGGCUAAGCAACCUCACGCUCCUCGACUUGGCCCGGAACCACCUCUCCGGCCCGAUUCCAGAUAUAUUUCCGGGCCUGACUAAUCUCAUAAGCCUAAGCUUCUCUCACAAUAAUUUGACCGGGAAAAUUCCCGCGAGCAUUUCAAUUUUAG
rnacentral:lncRNA from 1 species